rfam:Lupinus angustifolius cultivar Tanjil chromosome LG01, whole genome shotgun sequence.
AUACCUUUCUCGGCCUUUUGGCUAAGAUCAAGUGUAGUAUCUGUUCUUAUCAGUUUAAUAUCUGAUAUGUGGGUCAUUGGCCCACACGAUAUUAAAUUAAUUUUUUAAGGGGAAGGGCCAUUAUAGUAGCUUGCUACUAGGCUUCUUAUGCGUCGCUCUUGUGUUGCACUAAAACAUGGGCCUGGCGCACCCCUC